GCGGAAAUAGCUCAGCUGGGAGUAGCGUCAGACUGAAGAUCUGGAGGUCCCGUGUUCAAUCCACGGUUUCCGCA